rnacentral:rRNA from 1 species
AUACGUAGGGUGCGAGCGUUGUCCGGAAUUACUGGGCGUAAAGAGCUCGUAGGUGGUUUGUCGCGUCGUCUGUGAAAUUCCGGGGCUUAACUCCGGGCGUGCAGGCGAUACGGGCAUAACUUGAGUACUGUAGGGGAGACUGGAUUUCCUGGUGUAGCGGUGAAAUGCGCAGAUAUAAGGAGGAACACCGGUGGCGAAGGCGGGUCUCUGGGCAGUAACUGACGCUGAGGAGCGAAAGCAUGGGUAGCGAACAGGAUUAGAUACCCUGGUAGUCCAUGCCGUAAACGGUGGGCGCUAGGUGUAGGGGUCUUCCACGACUUCUGUGCCGUAGCUAACGCAUUAAGCGCCCCGCCUGGGGAGUACGGCCGCAAGGCUAAAACUCAAAGGAAUUGACGGGG